UGGUUUAAUUCGAUGCAACGCGAAGAACCUUACCUGGUCUUGACAUCCACAGAACUUUCCAGAGAUGGAUUGGUGCCUUCGGGAACUGUGAGACAGGUGCUGCAUGGCUGUCGUCAGCUCGUGUUGUGAAAUGUUGGGUUAAGUCCCGCAACGAGCGCAACCCUUAUCCUUUGUUGCCAGCGGUCCGGCCGGGAACUCAAAGGAGACUGCCAGUGAUAAACUGGA
rnacentral:rRNA from 1 species